rnacentral:rRNA from 1 species
AGAACGAACGCUGGCGGCGUGGAUAAGACAUGCAAGUCGAACGGGCUUAAUUUUAGAGCAAUCUAGGGUUGAGCCAGUGGCGAACGGGUGCGUAACACGUGAGUCAUCUGCCUGAAAGUGGGGGAUAGCUCGCCGAAAGGCGAAUUAAUACCGCAUGUGGUUGUGAAACCAAAGCCGGGGCAACCUGGCGCUUUUAGAGGAGCUCGCGGCCUAUCAGCUUGUUGGUGAGGUAACAGCUUACCAAGGCAACGACGGGUAGCUGGUCUGAGAGGACGACCAGCCACACUGGAACUGAGACACGGUCCAGACACCUACGGGUGGCAGCAGUCGAGAAUUUUUCUCAAUGGGGGAAACCCUGAAGGAGCGACGCCGCGUGGAGGAUGAAGGCUUUCGGGUUGUAAACUCCUGUCAUUUGGGAACAAGUCUUACGUUAACUGCGUGGAGAUUUGAUAGUACCGAAAGAGGAAGAGACGGCUAACUCUGUGCCAGCAGCCGCGGUAA